AUGCACAGCUCUUUGGUCUGGGAAGAUGUGGCAUAUCUUAAGACCAGGUUAGGACCGUUGCCCCAUCUUCCCUGUAUGAUCCUCCAACCAGAAGACCAGGUUAGGACGUUGCCCCAUCUUCCCUGUAUGAUCCUCCAACCAGAAGACCAGGUUAGGACGUUGCCCCAUCUUCCCUGUAUGAUCCUCCAACCAGAAGAUGUCUUAAGACCAGGUUAGGAACGUUGCCCCAUCUUCCCUGUAUUAUCCUCCAACCAGAAGACCAGGUUAGGACUGUUGCCCCAUCUUCCCUGUAUGAUCCUCCAACCAGAAGACCAGGUUAGGACCGUUGCCCCAUCUUCCCUGUAUGAUCCUCCAACCAGAAGAUGUCUUAAGACCAGGUUAGGACCGUUUCCCCAUCUUCCCUGUAUUAUCCUCCAACCAGAAGACCAGGUUAGGACGUUGCCCCAUCUUCCCUGUAUGAUCCUCCAACCAGAAGAUGUCUUAAGACCAGGUUAGGACCGUUGCCCCAUCUUCCCUGUAUGAUCCUCCAACCAGAAGACCAGGUUAGGACCGUUGCCCCAUCUUCCCUGUAUGAUCCUCCAACCAGAAGACCAGGUUAGGACGUUGCCUCAUCUUCCCUGUAUGAUCCUCCAACCAGAAGACCAGGUUAGGACCGUUGCCCCAUCUUCCCUGUAUGAUCCUCCAACCAGAAGAUGUCUUAAGACCAGGUUAGGACGUUGCCCCCAUCUUCCCUGUAUGAUCCUCCAACCAGAAGACCAGGUUAGGACGUUGCCCCAUCUUCCCUGUAUGAUCCUCCAACCAGAAGAUGUCUUAAGACCAGGUUAGGACCGUUGCCCCAUCUUCCCUGUAUGAUCCUCCAACCAGAAGACCAGGUUAGGACGUUGCCCCAUCUUCCCUGUAUGAUCCUCCAACCAGAAGACCAGGUUAGGACGUUGCCUCAUCUUCCCUGUAUGAUCCUCCAACCAGAAGACCAGGUUAGGACGUUGCCCCAUCUUCCCUGUAUGAUCCUCCAACCAGAAGAUGUCUUAAGACCAGGUUAGGACGUUGCCCCAUCUUCCCUGUAUUAACCUCCAACCAGAAGACCAGGUUAGGACCGUUGCCCCAUCUUCCCUGUAUGAUCC